rnacentral:rRNA from 1 species
CCUACGGGUGGCAGCAGUGAGGAAUAUUGGUCAAUGGUCGCGAGCCUGAACCAGCCAAGUAGCGUGAAGGAUGACUGCCCUACGGGUUGUAAACCUCUUUUAUAAAGGAAUAAAGUCAGGCACGUGUGCCUGUUUGUAUGUACUUUAUGAAUAAGCAUCGGCUAACUCCGUGCCAGCAGCCGCGGUAAUACGGAGGAUCCGAGCGUUAUCCGGAUUUAUUGGGUUUAAAGGGUGCGUAGAUGGGUUGUUAAGUCAGUGGUGAAAGUGUGGGGCUCAACCGUAAAAUUGCCAUUGAUACUGGCAGUCUUGAGUGCAGUUGAGGUAGGCGGAAUGCGUGGUGUAGCGGUGAAAUGCUUAGAUAUCACGCAGAACUCCGAUUGCGAAGGCAGCUUACCAGACUGCCACUGACAUUGAGGCACGAAAGUGUGGGUAUCAAACAGGAUUAGAUACCCUGGUAGUC